rnacentral:rRNA from 1 species
UACGUAUGGAGCAAGCGUUAUCCGGAUUUACUGGGUGUAAAGGGAGCGUAGGCGGCCCUGUAAGUCUGAUGUGAAAAUUUGGGGCUCAACCCCAAACGUGCAUUGGAAACUGCAGGGCUUGAGUGCCGGAGAGGCAGGCGGAAUUCCUAGUGUAGCGGUGAAAUGCGUAGAUAUUAGGAGGAACACCAGUGGCGAAGGCGGCUUGCUGGACAGAGACUGACGUUGAGGCUCGAAAGCGUGGGGAGCAAACAGG